rnacentral:rRNA from 1 species
UACGGAGGGGGCAAGCGUUAUUCGGAAUCAUUGGGCGUAAAGGGCGCGUAGGCGGCCAUCUAAGUCAGACGUGAAAUCCCCCGGCUUAACCUGGGAACUGCGUCUGAUACUGGAAGGCUUGAGUAUGGGAGAGGGAUGUAGAAUUCCAGGUGUAGCGGUGAAAUGCGUAGAUAUCUGGAGGAAUACCGGUGGCGAAGGCGGCAUCCUGGACCAUUACUGACGCUGAGGCGCGAAAGCUAGGGGAGCAAACGGG